AACGAACGCUGGCGGCGGGCUUAACACAUGCAAGUCGAACGCAUCCUUCGGGGUGAGUGGCAGACGGGUGAGUAACGCGUGGGAACGUGCCCUUCAGUUCGGGAUAACCCAGGGAAACUUGGGUUAAUACCGGAUACGUGCGAGAGCAGAAAGAUUUAUCGCUGAAGGAUCGGCCCGCGUCUGAUUAGCUAGUUGGUGGGGUAAUGGCCCACCAAGGCGACGAUCAGUAGCUGGUCUGAGAGGAUGAUCAGCCACAUUGGGACUGAGACACGGCCCAAACUCCUACGGGAGGCAGCAGUGGGGAAUAUUGGACAAUGGGCGCAAGCCUGAUCCAGCCAUGCCGCGUGAGUGAUGAAGGCCUUAGGGUUGUAAAGCUCUUUCGUCCGGGACGAUAGUGACGGUACCGGAAGAAGAAGCCCCGGCUAACUUCGUGCCAGCAGCCGCCGUAA
rnacentral:rRNA from 1 species